rnacentral:rRNA from 1 species
CUAAGUCUGUUCGACUUUUAAAUCUUUACAUGAUCUGAGUUCAAACCGGCGUGAGCCAGGUUGGUUUCUAUCUGCAAUUGUUUAUUAUGUUUUAGUACGAAAGGACCAAAUAUAAAUAAUAUUUAUUUAUUUUUUGAAUAAUAAUUAAACUAUUUUGGCAGAAUAAGUGUGAUAAAUUUAGAAUUUAUUUAUGUAAUUUAUAUUACAAAUAGUA